AGGAUUUAAGUUAAAAAGUAAACUUUCAACCUUCAAAGUUGCAAAUACAACUCAAUGUAAGCCUUAA
rnacentral:tRNA from 1 species